CUGCGAUGAUGUAUGAAUUUCUUCACCUGAAUUGCAAACUGAAGAUCAAACAGACGAGCUUUUUAACCCUGAGCUGU
ensembl:snoRNA SNORD36 Small nucleolar RNA SNORD36